GGGGGUGCAAGCGUUGUCCGGAAUCAUUGGGCGUAAAGCGUUCGUAGGCGGUAUGUCAAGUCUGGUGUCAAAGCCCGGGGCUCAACUCCGGUUCGGCAUUGGAUACUGGCAAACUAGAAUGUGGUAGAGGUAAAGGGAAUUCCUGGUGUAGCGGUGAAAUGCGUAGAUAUCAGGAGGAACAUCGGUGGCGAAAGCGCUUUACUGGACCAUUAUUGACGCUGAGGAACGAAAGCCAGGGGAGCAAA
rnacentral:rRNA from 1 species